AGGGAAAAAUUAGACAAUAGAGUCGCUUGUCUAAGUACAUCUGGAAGGAGCCUCUGCGGUUAUCCCUUGAUACACUAUUAUGAUUCAAGUGCCUGUAGGUCUGAGCACUUCAUUCUCAUAAAGAAGGAAACUGAGAAAAGCAUGACAAAACAGAGAGGGAAGCAAGAAGAGAAAGCCAAGAGAGGGUGAGAAUGGAGUUUAGAAUGAGCCCUGGCAUAACAGCCACCUUUGCUACAUAACACAAUGGUCUAUGGAUUCUAUUUCAAAAAUCGACCUAAAAGCACAGAAGAGCAUUUUGGAUUUUCAAAAGCAGCAUACACAACAAGGAGGGAUUGCGGAUCAAUAAGAGACUAGAUGGAGCCUCACAAUUAAAUGCUUUCUAUACCGUGAAGAGCAGAUUUCUUCCGUUCCCUUUGUUCCUUUCUCUCUCUCCUCUCCUUCCCACAAACACUCAUUGAGCUAAGAAUAAAAGCUCACAGUCUUCACAUUCCCUCAAAGAGGUCAUGAUUUCCUAGGGCAGAUAGGGCAUGCAACAGCUCUGACAAACGGUGGAACAUGAGACAUGCCCAAGCGAAGGAAGGAACGUGGGAAAGGAGGGGCUAUGCUCCCACAAAGCUGUUCCCAUUAGAAAAUGAGCCCCAAAGGCAGCCCAGCUUGGUGAACUCAGCCAAGAGAGAGUGGGUCUGGCCCAGCCCGGCUCUCAGAACGCAGGCAUGACGCCCAAGAGGAAGGUCAGCGAGGUUGUCAUCUAAACCUCCUCCUGUAAAAGUGGAAACAAAGCUAAAAAAGGAGGCAGGAAAGUAUAAAUCUUCAGACAAAAAAGUGCAAACAGGGAAAAGGGGAGCAAAGGGAAAACGGGCUGAAGUGGCUAACCAAAAA